AUUGAACGCUGGCGGCAGGCCUAACACAUGCAAGUCGAACGGUAACAUUUCUAGCUUGCUAGAAGAUGACGAGUGGCGGACGGGUGAGUAAUGCUUGGGAACUUGCCUUUGCGAGGGGGAUAACAGUUGGAAACGACUGCUAAUACCGCAUAAUGUCUUCGGACCAAACGGGGCUUCGGCUCCGGCGCAAAGAGAGGCCCAAGUGAGAUUAGCUAGUUGGUAAGGUAACGGCUUACCAAGGCGACGAUCUCUAGCUGUUCUGAGAGGAAGAUCAGCCACACUGGGACUGAGACACGGCCCAGACUCCUACGGGAGGCAGCAGUGGGGAAUAUUGCACAAUGGGGGAAACCCUGAUGCAGCCAUGCCGCGUGUGUGAAGAAGGCCUUCGGGUUGUAAAGCACUUUCAGUUGUGAGGAAAAGUUAGUAGUUAAUACCUGCUAGCCGUGACGUUAACAACAGAAGAAGCACCGGCUAACUCCGUGCCAGCAGCCGCGGUAA
rnacentral:rRNA from 1 species